CCUACGGGAGGCAGCAGUGAGGAAUAUUGGUCAAUGGGCGGAAGCCUGAACCAGCCAAGUCGCGUGCGGGAUGAAGGCCCUACGGGUCGUAAACCGCUUUUGCACGGGGAUAACACCCUCCACUUGUGGAUGUCUGCAGGUACCGUGCGAAUAAGCGCCGGCUAAUUCCGUGCCAGCAGCCGCGGUAAUACGGAAGGCCCGAGCGUUAUCCGGAUUCAUUGGGGUUAAAGGGAGCGUAGGCGGACGUUCAAGUCAGCUGUAAAAUCGCGGGGCUCAACCGCGCACCGCCGUUGAAACUGGACGCCUUGAGUUCACAACAGGCAGGCGGAAUGCGUGGUGUAGCGGUGAAAUGCAUAGAUAUCACGAGGAACCCCGAUUGCGAAGGCAGCCUGCCGGGGUGCGACUGACGCUGAGGCUCGAAGGUGCGGGUAUCGAACAGGAUUAGAUACCCUAGUAGUC
rnacentral:rRNA from 1 species